rnacentral:lncRNA from 1 species
AUGGUGUCAGUUCUACCAGUUUAGGAAAAGAAUUGUACUCAAUGGAUGUCAAAAUAGAGGGAUGACAUGCUGGAUACUGAUGUGGGAUUUCAUCCCUAAAGGCACUGUUGGGGCAUUUCAAUACAGCCACAACUGGUAUUACAAGUAUGUCAAAGUGAAGAAAGGGAGCACUCUCAGGGUUUCUAUGCUGUUGGCAGCUUACAUGUUUUUCAACUACUGCCUUUCUUACAAGGAGCUCAAACUUGAAAGGUUAUACAAGUACUACUGA